rnacentral:rRNA from 1 species
UACGUAGGGGGCAAGCGUUGUCCGGAAUUAUUGGGCGUAAAGAGCGUGUAGGCGGCCAGAUAAGUCCGCUGUGAAAUCUCGAGGCUCAACUUCGAGCUGUCGGUGGAAACUGUCUGGCUAGAGUCCGGAAGGGGCGAGUGGAAUUCCUGGUGUAGCGGUGAAAUGCGCAGAUAUCAGGAGGAACACCAAUGGCGAAGGCAGCUCGCUGGGACGGUACUGACGCUGAGGCGCGAAAGCUAGGGGAGCAAACGGG